rnacentral:rRNA from 1 species
UACGUAGGGGGCAAGCGUUGUCCGGAAUCAUUGGGCGUAAAGAGCGUGUAGGCGGCCUGGUAAGUCCGCUGUGAAAGUCGGGGGCUCAACCCUCGAAUGCCGGUAGAUACUGUCGAACUAGAGUGCGGAAGAGGCGAGUGGAAUUCCUGGUGUAGCGGUGAAAUGCGCAGAUAUCAGGAGGAACACCAAUUGCGAAGGCAGCUCGCUGGGACGUAACUGACGCUGAGACGCGAAAGCGUGGGGAGCAAACAGG